CGAGAGGACUGCGCGCGCUCUCCGCGCCGCGCCGUCUCCACUGAGCUGCGGAUCCCGGGCGGCAUUGCACAGCGGGCCAGAGCCCUCCUCCCCGCCAAGGCUGCGCGGCGCCCUGGCGUGGAAGUGGGCCGCGAGUGCGCGCCUGCUCCUCGCCCACGGACGCUUGGGUGGCUCGCUGCAAACUGCGGCGGAGAGCCCUGGGCAAACGGCUUUGUGUCCGCGCGCAGGCAUAUCCACGGGCUGCAUUCCCGGGAGUGGACUUGCUGGGGCAGAAGGCAUGUAUGUUUUGAAUGUUGCUCCGUGAUCAUUUCAUUUAUUUAUUAAUUUAAUUUAUUAUUAUUAUUUUUUCUCUCUCAGACAUCCAGGAAGUUGGCCCCUCUGCCGUCAUUUUGAAUGGCUACAUGAAUCCUGGUGCAUUUAACAAACGGCGCCCCGUGGUCUCUGCCUGGCUGGAGCCUUAUAAGUGUCUGUGAAAAUACCUGGAAAACUGGAGCUAAGUACCAAGACAAAACUGCACACUGAGGUUUAACAAUACCGUAACAGCCGAAUUAUACAAACUCAACAACAUUAAAAACAAGAAGUUCAUGUUUUCAGUGGGAAGUGGGGCCCUUUGCACCUGUUUGUUGGGUGCGGUGGUGCCCGUGAGGCUGGUGGUCCUGCCCGGUGGCCUCUUUCCUGUUUCCUUGGCCCCAGGGCAGCCCUGGGCCUGGACAGGGCUGAGUGACUGCGAGCACAAAGAUCUGGCCCCGGAAAGUCCCCGAGUCCGUCCCAUCCUCGCUGCGUGGCCCUAGCAGGCACAGGCGGAGACCUGUGUUCGUCCAGCCCAUUUACCGAGCACCUGCUGCACCCGGCGCUGGGACCAGACGGGCAACAGCCCUGCCUUGCGGUGCUUGCAUUGUCGGGGAGUGUGUGCACGGCACAGGUAACCCAGAAGUGAGCAAGUGAAGUUGCAGAGCAGUUUUAGAUGGGGCUGAGUUAUGUGACUGGAAUAAAACAUGGUUCUGUGACGGAGCAACACAGAUACGGGUGUCGGGGACGAGUACUGACUAGAAUUUCGAGACCGGAACCCUAAGACAGAGCUGGGCCCGGGAAUACCUGGGAGAAGGGCGCUCCAGGCAGAGGGAACAGCAGGUGCAAAGGCCUCGAGGCAGGACCGGGCUUGGGGGCCAGUCACGAUGGGGAGCUUUGGGAGGAGGA